AUUGAACGCUGGCGGCAGGCCUAACACAUGCAAGUCGAACGAGUGGCGGACGGGUGAGUAAUGUCUGGGAAACUGCCUGAUGGAGGGGGAUCACUACUGGAAACGGUAGCUAAUACCGCAUACCAUCAGAUGUGCCCAGAUGGGAUUAGCUUGUGGGUGGGGUAACGGCUCACCAAGGCGACGAUCCCUAGCUGGUCUGAGAGGAUGACCAGCCACACUUGAACUGAGACACGGUCCAGACUCCUACGGGAGGCAGCAGUGGGGAAUAUGGCACAAUGGGCGCAAGCCUGAUCCAGCCAUGCCGCGUGUGUGAAGAAGGGCUUCGGAUUGUAAAGCACUUUAAGUUGGGAGGCGUUACCAACAGAAGAAGCACCGGCUAACUUCGUGCCAGCAGCCGCGGUAAUUC
rnacentral:rRNA from 1 species